CUCUAUGGCGGGCGUACGGGCAACCUUCGGGUUGGCCGGUUUUCUUUCUUGUCCGGUAUUCCUACCCCGUACAGCCCGCCUCCCUU
rnacentral:antisense_RNA from 1 species